UGAGUAACACGUAUCCAACCUGCCGUCUACUCUUGGACAGCCUUCUGAAAGGAAGAUUAAAUACAAGAUGGCAUCAUGAGUCCGCAUGUUCACAUGAUUAAAGGUAUUCCGGUAGACGAUGGGGAUGCGUUCCAUUAGAUAGUAGGCGGGGUAACGGCCCACCUAGUCUUCGAUGGAUAGGGGUUCUGAGAGGAAGGUCCCCCACAUUGGAACUGAGACACGGUCCAA
rnacentral:rRNA from 1 species